GGAGUUAGCCGGUGCUUCUUCUGUGAGUGAUGUCCUUCCUGCCGGCUAUUAACCCGCAGGCCUUCUUCCUCACUGAAAGUGCUUUACAACCCGAAGUCCUUCUUCACACACGCGGCAUGGCUGGAUCAGGGUUGCCCCCAUUGUCCAAUAUUCCCCACUGCUGCCUCCCGUAGGAGUCUGGGCCGUGUCUCAGUCCCAGUGUGGCUGAUCAUCCUCUCAGACCAGCUACGGAUCGUCGCCUUGGUGAGCCGUUACCUCACCAACCAGCUAAUCCGACAUAGGCUCAUCCGAUAGCGCGAGGCCCGAAGGUCCCCCGCUUUCCCCCGUAGGGCGUAUGCGGUAUUAUCCUGGGUUUCCCCCAGGUUAUCCCCCACUACCGGGCAGAUUCCUAUGCAUUACUCACCCGUCCGCCGCUCGCCACCAGGGAGCAAGCUCCCCGUGCUGCCGCUCGACUUGCAUGUGUUAGGCCUGCCGCCAGCGUUCAAUCUGAGCCAGGAUCAAACUCUGA
rnacentral:rRNA from 1 species